CCCGUGACACCCCUCAUUAUUUUUCUCUAGAAGCCCUGGAAUAGGUCGACCCCCUGUUUUUUGCCAUUUUUUUCAAAUUUUGAGCUCUAGUUUCAGAUUUUUGAACAUAGCGCCCUUCGAUACCUUGCGCAAAAGAAGCGUCUGUUUCUCCUCUACAAGACCUAUAUAGUCAUACCCCGUGACACCCCUCAUUAUUUUUCUCUAGAAGCCCUGGAAUAGGCCGACCCCCUGUUUUUUGCCAUUUUUUUUUCAAAUUUUGAGCUCUAGUUUCAGAUUUUUGAACAUAGCGCCCUUCGAUACAUUGCGCAAAAGAAGCGUCUGUUUCUCCUCUACAAGAUCUAUAUAGUCAUAUCCCGUGACACCCCUCAUUAUUUUUCUCUAGAAGCCCCGGAAUAGGUCAACCCCCUGUUUUUGCCAUUUGUUUUCAAAUUUUGAGCUCUAGUUUCAGAUUUUUGAACAUAGCGCCCUUCGAUACCUUGCGCAAAAGAAG
rnacentral:lncRNA from 1 species